GUGUGCCUUUGAUGUUCAUGUUUAAUUUAUGGAGAAACUCUGACCUAAUUUUAUCUCUCAAGAUCAGCCCUUAAAAUCUCACAUGCCCACCUCUUCUGCAACAGUCCCUGUCCCUAGAGGACUUGAAUAGUUUUCAUUCUGGCCUCCUGUCUCAUGAGUGCAGUUUAUUUUGAUUGUCAUCUUCUCCUGGAUAUAAAGAAGCUGGCAAAUCCAAAAUUUGCAGUUCAAGUCCAGAGGUCAUCAGGCUGGAGGUCCAGGAAACAACCAGUGUUGCAGCUCAAGUCUGAAGCCUCUCUGCUGACAGGCUUCUUCUUGCUCAGAGUAGGCUUCAAAAUGGUGAGAAGAUAAUGAGAAAAGGAAAGAAUCUAUGGAUAAGAAGUAAGGAGAAAAUCGUUGACAAUUGUCAAAAUCUUGCCUCAUUACUUCUCCAGGAAUGAUGUCUAUCCUUUUCUUCAAACACAUUCUGUAUUCUAGGAAUUCUGAAUUAUUUUGGAUUAGCCAAACUCACUAUAAACUCUACUAUAAAUAGGAAACCCUGCCAUGUUGAAAGGAAUACAACCCAACAUGGAGUAGAAACAAGAAAUCAAGAUAUACACUCUAGGACAAGGAGCAAUAAGAAUUUGACUUAAAAUGGUUAUUUAGCAUGUAUUAGAGUUGCAACUGGAUUUUAUGUAGUUAUGAGGGAACCCUGAAAAAAGUACCAUUGAACAGAAAUGAGAUUUGGUUUCAGAACUUCAGCCCAAAUGCUAUUAAAUCUUUUGCAUUUCUUGAACUAUACCCCUUGUGUCUUUGUCAUAAUUUUCCAGAGGUCUUCUCAGUCAAUAUGGGUUCAGUUUACAUAAUCCUGUCAACUGAAUAAAGUAAAUAUGUAUUAGGCUUCUGAGUAAAGUGUAAUCAUAAGCAUUGCAUUGAUAUAAGAUAUAUAAACUCAAGGAUAUAAAGAAACAAUUUUUUUGUUCGUUUUGUUUUGGUUUUGUUUUAAGUCAAAGGAAAGGUGUGGUUCAGGAGUGAUAAAUUGCAGCCUGGUGAUCAAGAAGAUUUAAAAUUUAUCUCAACUUUACUAAAGUCUUCCUGACUAUAGGCCCCUGACCAAUCUUUUCUUGGAGCACUUACUUCAGAAAAAUUGCAAAUGUUAAUUUUUUAUUUGCUGAUGAUGUAAUAUCUGUCUCAAGUAUCUGGGAAUCAUCAAUUUGAAAAGUAAUAGGAAAGAAAGAACCCUUGUCUCCUAGUUUCAGUGAAAUGAUAGGAGUUGUAGAUAAAUACCAACUAGCAACACAAAUGGCCUAAUAACAUUGCACAACCUAUUUGAUAACAUCAUUGUCUUCCAGUACUUUUCCAGUAGCUUCCCCUGGUGCUUAAGAAUUUACCCAACUUCUGUUUGAGUGGAGUGGAGUCAUUCUUUCUCCUUCACAAUAGUGUUGAAUAAA
rnacentral:lncRNA from 10 species